GACGAACGCUGGCGGCGUGCUUAACACAUGCAAGUCGAACGGAAAGGCCUCUUUCGGGGGGUACUCGAGUGGCGAACGGGUGAGUAACACGUGAGUAACCUGCCCUUGUCUUUGGGAUAACUUCAGGAAACUGGGGCUAAUACCGGAUAGGAGCUCCUGCUGCAUGGUGGGGGUUGGAAAGUUUCGGCGGUUGGGGAUGGACUCGCGGCUUAUCAGCUUGUUGGUGGGGUAGUGGCUUACCAAGGCUUUGACGGGUAGCCGGCCUGAGAGGGUGACCGGCCACAUUGGGACUGAGAUACGGCCCAGAGUCCUACGGGGGGCAGAAGUGGGGAAGAUUGCACAAUGGGUGGAAGCCUGAUGCAGCAACGCCGUGUGCGGGAUGACGGCCUUCGGGUUGUAAAACGCUUUCGCUCAUGACGAAGCUUUGUGUGACGGUAGUGGGUAAAGAAGCACCGGCUAACUACGUG
rnacentral:rRNA from 1 species